rnacentral:rRNA from 1 species
AUUGAACGCUGGCGGCAGGCCUAACACAUGCAAGUCGAGCGAGCGGCGGACGGGUGAGUAAUGUCUGGGAAACUGCCUGAUGGAGGGGGAUAACUACUGGAAACGGUAGCUAAUACCGCAUACCAUCAGAUGUGCCCAGAUGGGAGUAGCUAGUAGGUGGGGUAACGGCUCACCUAGGCGACGAUCCCUAGCUGGUCGGAGAGGAUGACCAGCCACACGGGAACUGAGACCGGGUCCAUACGCCUACGGGAGGCAGCAGGGGGGAAUAGUGCACAAUGGGCGCAAGCCUGAUGCAGCCAUGCGGGGUGUGUGAAGAAGGCCUUCGGGUUGUAAAGCACUUUCAGCGGGGAGGCGUUACCCGCAGAAGAAGCACCGGCUAACUCCGUGCCAGCCGCCGCGGUAAUAC